rfam:Habropoda laboriosa contig15601, whole genome shotgun sequence.
CAAUCGGCCCCUUUCGGGGCCACACAUUUUUAAACAUAGGAACAA